rnacentral:rRNA from 1 species
UACGAAGGGGGCUAGCGUUGCUCGGAAUCACUGGGCGUAAAGCGCACGUAGGCGGCUUUCUAAGUCAGGGGUGAAAUCCUGGAGCUCAACUCCAGAACUGCCUUUGAUACUGGAGAGCUUGAGUCCGGAAGAGGUGAGUGGAACUCCGAGUGUAGAGGUGAAAUUCGUAGAUAUUCGGAAGAACACCAGUGGCGAAGGCGGCUCACUGGUCCGGUACUGACGCUGAUGUGCGAAAGCGUGGGUAGCAAACAGG